CGCUGGCGGCAUGCCUUACACAUGCAAGUCGAACGGUAACGCGGGGCAACCUGGCGACGAGUGGCGAACGGGUGAGUAAUAUAUCGGAACGUGCCCAGUUGUGGGGGAUAACUGCUCGAAAGAGCAGCUAAUACCGCAUACGACCUGAGGGUGAAAGCGGGGGAUCGCAAGACCUCGCGCAAUUGGAGCGGCCGAUAUCAGAUUAGGUAGUUGGUGGGGUAAAGGCCUACCAAGCCUACGAUCUGUAGCUGGUCUGAGAGGACGACCAGCCACACUGGGACUGAGACACGGCCCAGACUCCUACGGGAGGCAGCAGUGGGGAAUUUUGGACAAUGGGGGCAACCCUGAUCCAGCCAUGCCGCGUGCGGGAAGAAGGCCUUCGGGUUGUAAACCGCUUUUGUCAGGGAAGAAAAGACUCCUACUAAUACUGGGGGUUCAUGACGGUACCUGAAGAAUAAGCACCGGCU
rnacentral:rRNA from 1 species